UCCAAGUAUUUCUUGACUUCUUACUUUUGCAUUCCAGUCCCCUAUAUUGAAAAGGACAUCUUUUUUGGGUGUUAGUUCUAGAAGGUCUUGUAGGUCUUCAUUGAACCGUUCAAUUUCUUCAGCAUUAGGGGUCGGGGCAUAGAGUUUUUUUACUGUAAUAUUGAAUGGUUUGCCUUGGAAACAAACAGAGCUCAUUCUGUCAUUCUUGAGAUUGCAUCCAAAUUCAGAGUUUAAUUGCAGA